GAUGAAGAACGCAGCGAAAUGCGAUAAGUAAUGUGAAUUGCAGAAUUCAGUGAAUCAUCGAAUCUUUGAACGCACAUUGCGCCCGCCAGUAUUCUGGCGGGCAUGCCUGUUCGAGCGUCAUUUCAACCAUCAAGCCCCAGGCUUGUGUUGGGGACCUGCGGCUGCCGCAGGCCCUGAAAACCAGUGGCGGGCUCGCUGUCACACCGGGCGUAGUAGAUUUUAUCUCGCUCAGGGCGUGCUGCGGGUUCCGGCCGUUUAAAAGCCUUUUUUACCCAAGGUUGACCUCGGAUCAGGUAGGAAGACCCGCUGAACUUAAGCAUAUCAAUAAGCGGAGGA
rnacentral:misc_RNA from 1 species